GCCGGACUAGCUCAGUUGGUAGAGCAAUUGAUUUGUAAUCAAUAGGUCGUUGGUUCAAGUCCGACGUCCGGCA
rnacentral:tRNA from 1 species